GCUUCGGGUGUUACCAACUUUCGUGACUUGACGGGCGGUGUGUACAAGGCCCGGGAACGUAUUCACCGCAGCGUUGCUGAUCUGCGAUUACUAGCGACUCCGACUUCAUGGGGUCGAGUUGCAGACCCCAAUCCGAACUGAGACCGGCUUUUUGGGAUUAGCUCCACCUCACAGUAUCGCAACCCAUUGUACCGGCCAUUGUAGCAUGCGUGAAGCCCAAGACAUAAGGGGCAUGAUGAUUUGACGUCGUCCUCACCUUCCUCCGAGUUGACCCCGGCAGUCUCCCAUGAGUCCCCACCAUUACGUGCUGGCAACAUGGAACGAGGGUUGCGCUCGUUGCGGGACUUAACCCAACAUCUCACGACACGAGCUGACGACAACCAUGCACCACCUGUGAACCCGCCCCAAAGGGGAAACCGUAUCUCUACGGCGAUCGAGAACAUGUCAAGCCUUGGUAAGGUUCUUCGCGUUGCAUCGAAUUAAUCCGCAUGCUCCGCCGCUUGUGCGGGCCCCCGUCAAUUCCUUUGAGUUUUAGCCUUGCGGCCGUACUCCCCAGGCGGGGCACUUAAUGCGUUAGCUGCGGCGCGGAAAACCGUGGAAUGGUCCCCACACCUAGUGCCCAACGUUUACGGCAUGGACUACCAGGGUAUCUAAAUCCUGUUCGCUCCCCAUGCUUUCGCUCCUCAGCGUCAGUUACAGCCCAGAGACCUGCCUUCGCCAUCGGUGUUCCUCCUGAUAUCUGCGCAUUCCACCGCUACACCAGGAAUUCCAGUCUCCCCUACUGCACUCUAGUCUGCCCGUACCCACCGCAGAUCCGGGGUUAAGCCCCGGACUUUCACGACAGACGCGACAAACCGCCUACGAGCUCUUUACGCCCAAUAAUUCCGGAUAACGCUCGCACCCUACGUAUUACCGCGGCUGCUGGCACGUAGUUAGCCGGUGCUUCUUCUGCAGGUACCGUCACUUUCGCUUCUUCCCUACUGAAAGAGGUUUACAACCCGAAGGCCGUCAUCCCUCACGCGGCGUCGCUGCAUCAGGCUUGCGCCCAUUGUGCAAUAUUCCCCACUGCUGCCUCCCGUAGGAGUCUGGGCCGUGUCUCAGUCCCAGUGUGGCCGGUCACCCUCUCAGGCCGGCUACCCGUCGUCGCCUUGGUGAGCCAUUACCUCACCAACAAGCUGAUAGGCCGCGAGUCCAUCCAAAACCGAUAAAUCUUUCCAACACCCACCAUGCGGUGGGCGCUCCUAUCCGGUAUUAGACCCAGUUUCCCAGGCUUAUCCCAGAGUUAAGGGCAGGUUACUCACGUGUUACUCACCCGUUCGCCACUAAUCCACCCAGCAAGCUGGGCUUC
rnacentral:rRNA from 1 species